UGGGGAAUAUUGCACAAUGGGCGCAAGCCUGAUGCAGCCAUGCCGCGUGUGUGAAGAAGGCCUUCGGGUUGUAAAGCACUUUCAGCGGGGAGGAAGGCGUUAAGGUUAAUAACCUUGGCGAUUGACGUUACCCGCAGAAGAAGCACCGGCUAACUCCGUGCCAGCAGCCGCGGUAAUACGGAGGGUGCAAGCGUUAAUCGGAAUUACUUGGCGUAAAGCGCACGCAGGCGGUCUGUCAAGUCGGAUGUGAAAUCCCCGGGCUCAACCUGGGAACUGCAUUAGAAACUGGAAGGCUAGAGUCUUGUAGAGGGGGGUAGAAUUCCAGGUGUAGCGGUGAAAUGCGUAGAGAUCUGGAGGAAUACCGGUGGCGAAGGCGGCCCCCAGGACAAAGACUGACGCUCAGGUGCGAAAGAGUGGGGAGCAAACAGG
rnacentral:rRNA from 1 species